GGGGGUGAUCGGUUUCGACGUUGCUCGACACUUCAGGGGAAGCGGGUCGAGGAUGCAAGGUCAUCUCGUCAAACGCUCCUUGCGAAACCAAUAGCUGCCAAUUCCAAGCGCAGCGACUUCGCCCUCGCCGCCUGAGCGAGCCCGAAGUCUGUCAGCCUGAGCUCGUCAUCGGCUCAGAUCCUGGCAUCAUCUAGAUGACUUGCUGCGUGAUCUGCGCUCGAGGGAUCACGCGGGACUCCCACUCGACUGGGCCUGUCAGGGAACGUGUGCGCGCGAGCCCUGGGGCCGAGAAAAUCCACAGCGCACUGCACCCGGAGAAGCCCUGAUUUCUCGGUAACGGACGCGGGUUCGAUUCCCGCCACCUCCACCC
rfam:Serinicoccus sp. CNJ-927 NODE_10_length_117589_cov_229.1_ID_15, whole genome shotgun sequence.